UACAGAGGUCUCAAGCGUUGUUCGGAUUCAUUGGGCGUAAAGGGUGCGUAGGUGGCGGGGUAAGUCAGGUGUGAAAUUUCGGAGCUUAACUCCGAAACUGCAUUUGAUACUGCCUUGCUUGAGGACUGGAGAGGAGACUGGAAUUCACGGUGUAGCAGUGAAAUGCGUAGAGAUCGUGAGGAAGACCAGUGGCGAAGGCGGGUCUCUGGACAGUUCCUGACACUGAGGCA
rnacentral:rRNA from 1 species